AUUAUUCAUUGUACCCAACAAGAAUCAUGAGAUCCUAAUUCCUUAUCAUCCAUUCCUGGCAAUAAGCUUGAACGAGUACAAGUACAUAGAGGCUGAAUGCCCGAAGACCAGCAAGGGUUAUCUAUGUGCCGAUAUUAGAAGCUUACAGCGUGAACCUUCAAAUCAACCAGAUUGUAUCCAACAACUUAUAACCGCCCAAAAUAGAAGUAGGUUUUGCCAUCCAGUGAAAGUAACUUUGGAAAAACCAGCGUUCGAGCAACUUGACGAACGUCACUAUACAAUGAGUUUUCCGCUGCCCACGAAAGUUCACCUAUCGUGUGGCCACGACCUGUACCGGACACUUCGAGGCAGCUACUUGGCAGUAAUUCCACAAAAUUGCUUUUUGAAAACGCCAGAGUUUAUGAUUCUCAAUAGAAACGAUCGCAUAAAAGGCCAAGCAAUUCAAGUUAUGGAUUUACCAAAAGAAGAACCCUGUGACUCAAGACCAUCUCCGCAUUAUGAAUUGAAGUCCACAAAACUGGAUCACCUACAUCAUGCAAGUGCAAAGGUUUCAUCUCAAACACCUAUCACUUUACCUCCGAGUUCGGACCACGGAAGUAUUUACCACACAACCAUACCCAUAUACACCAUAUUGGUUGGAACCUGCGGACUGAGUAUAAUCAUCAUAGUUUAUCGUAAAAUACAGCGCACGAAGACAUUGCAGAUAAGAAGCACAGCCGAAAUUCAGAGUUCUUCAUCCGAUGACCUCCCGGCGCAAUUCACAGCCAAGGUGUUCCAUAAGCGCCGAUCUGAUGGGGGAGGUGUUACGCAGGCGAAGCCAGCGGCUGAUACAUAGUGAGCCAGCGCAACAUGCAUUCCCAUUCCCACGUACGAAUACGACCCGUAUAGCUGACGCGGCGUAAUACCAGAACCCGCGCGAUGUGGGAAUCGUAAUAUUAAGUUAGAAUAUUCUCAUCCUUAGAGAUAAGCACUAGUUUUUAGUCUUUUCAUUUAAAUGUAACUUUGAAUAUAAUUAUUAUAAGGAUAUUAUCGCCGACUAGUUUUCUUCCAUCCACCUCCUGCGAGCCUAAACAUUACUUAAUUACAAACAAUUAGUAAUGUAAGUUUGAUAUCUGCUGGUAAAGCAUUUCAAGUAGGUAAUUAUGUUGUCAGAUAUAUCCACGCAAAAAAGUUUAUUUAAAGUAAAAUUGAGUUAUACUCUUAUAUUGUUAUUAACAAUUAUUGUUAUGAUGGCUGUUACUUUAAAAAGUGGCUUUAAAGAAAAUAAUUUAUAACUAAGUACACCAACUAUAUUGUCUUAAGUAGGUACCUAUGUAUACAAAAUGCAUAAUCUACUAAUUCUCAUAAGUGCUAAGAGUGUUUAGUAAAUAAGUAUCGCUAAAUAUCUUGAACGUGGAGUACAAACAAUUUGUUUUGUGUUUGUAUUUUUGCAUUGUGUAAAAUAUGGUUGUAAAAUGAAGUGAUAAAUCCGAAAUCAAUAAUAUUUUAA